UACGUAGGGUGCGAGCGUUAAUCGGAAUUACUGGGCGUAAAGCGUGCGCAGGCGGUUUUGUAAGUCAGAUGUGAAAUCCCCGGGCUCAACCUGGGAAUGGCAUUUGGGACUGCAUAGCUAGAGUUUGUCAGAGGGGGGUGGAAUUCCACGUGUAGCAGUGAAAUGCGUAGAUAUGUGGAGGAACACCGAUGGCGAAGGCAGCCCCCUGGGAUGUGACUGACGCUCAUGUACGAAAGCAUGGGGAGCAAACAGG
rnacentral:rRNA from 1 species